UAAAAUAAUUAUGUUUUUGGUAAUUUAUUAUAAAUUUAUUUUACAUAUAAAUUUUAGUGUUAAUUUUUAAUUAUUUUAAAAAUAAUUAAUUAUUUUAGUAGUAAUUAAUAUUAAAAAUUUAAGAAAUUAAGAUUUAGUGAUAUUAAAAUUAAUAACUAAUUUUGUGCCAGCAGUUGCGGUUAAACAAAAGUUAAAUUAAAUUGUUUCAGUUUAUAAUAAAUAAAAUAUAAAUUAAAAUAAAUAUUAAAUUAUUAGGUGAAAUUUUAAUUUAAUUAAAUUUUAUUUUAAUUUUAUGAUUUAAUAAAUUUAUAAAUAAACUAGGAUUAGAUACCCUAUUAUUAAAAAAUUAAUUUAUAAUACUAAAAUAGUAAAUAAUAAUUUAUUGAAACUUAAAUAAUAUGGCGGUAUUUUAGUUCAUUUAGAGGAAUCUGUCUAAUAAUUGAUAAUCCACGAAUAAAUUUACUUAAUUUAUAAUUUUGUAUAUCAUUGUUAAAAAAAUAUUUUUUAGUAAAAUUAAUAUUUAAAAUUUAAAAUAAAAGUUAAUUCAGAUCAAGAUGCAGAAUAUAAUUAAGAAUAUGAUGGAUUACAAUAAAUAUAUUUAAAUGAAUAAUUUUUUGUAAGAAAAAUUUGAAGGUGGAUUUAAAUGUAAUUUUAAUUAAUUUAUUAAAAUGAUUAAAAAUUAAAAUAUGUACAUAUUGCCCGUCACUUUCAUUUAAAAAUUGAAAUAAGUCGUAACAAAGUAGAGGUACUGGAAAGUGUUUCUAGAAAGAU
rnacentral:ncRNA from 1 species